rnacentral:rRNA from 1 species
GACGAACGCUGGCGGCGUGCCUAACACAUGCAAGUCGAACGGAAAGGCCCUGCUUUUGUGGGGUGCUCGAGUGGCGAACGGGUGUGUAACACAUGAGUAACCUGCCCUUGACUGUGGGAUAUCUUCAGGAAACUGCGGCUAAUACCGGAUAGAAGCUCCUGAUGCAUGGUGGGGGUUGGAAAGUUUCGGCGGUAGGGGAUCGACUCGCGGGUUAUCAGCUGGUUGGUGGGGUAGGUGCUUACCAAGGGUUCGACGGCUAGCCGGCAUGAGAGGGUGACCGGCCACAAUGCUACUACGAGACGGCGCAGACGCGUACGGGAGGCAGAAGGCGAGAAUAUGGCACAACGGGGGGGAGUCUGUUGCAGCAACGCCGGGAGCGGGAAGACGGCUUUCGGGGUAUAAACCGCUUUGGCCUGAGACGAAGCGUGAGUGACGGUAAUGGGUAAAGAAGCACCGGCUAACUACGUG